GGUCUUUCUGCAAAUUUCUCAAGGGGU
rnacentral:antisense_RNA from 1 species